rnacentral:rRNA from 1 species
AAUAUUGGACAAUGGGUGAAAGCCUGAUCCAGCCAUUCCUCGUGUGUGAAUAAGGUCUUCGGUUUGUAAAGCACUUUAUUUUGGGAGGAAGGGCAGUAAGUCAAUACCUUGCUGUUUUGACGUUACCUACAGAAUAAGCACCGGCUAACUUCGUGCCAGCAGCCGAGGUAAUACUAAGGGUGAAAGCGUUAAUCGGAAUUACUGGGCGUAAAGCGAGCGGAGGUGGUUUGUAAAGUUGGAAGUGAAAGCCGCGGGCUCAACCUGGGAACUGCUUUCAAAACUGGCAAGCUAGAGUAUGGCAGAGGGUGGUGGAAUUUCCUGUGUAGCGGUGAAAUGCGUAGAUAUAGGAAGGAACACCAGUGGCGAAGGCGACUACCUGGACUGAUACUGACACUGAGGUGCGAAAGCGUGGGGAGCAAAC